UGUAUCCAAGUCUACAAAUAUGAAAGCAAGCAGGGUCGAACUAACUUUAGAAAUAGCCUUAAAUCAACUAUCUGGUGCAAGUAAAGUGAUAAAAAAGAUGACAUUACAUCCUACAGAUUUAAAAAGGGAGCACAAGCAAGCUAAUGCAGGACCUGAUGAAUGUAAAACUGCUUUGUCAAAAGCAUACAGCAAGCCAGCAUCACAUGGGCUAUUGACUACCUCCAUUAACGCCAAAGGUGACAGAAAUGCUAAAUCAGGCGUGCUGCCGCUGGGCGGUGCUGUGCGCCGUGCGCGGGCGCGGGCG